rnacentral:tRNA from 1 species
GGUGUAGCUCAGCGGUUAGAGCGCUGCGCUCAUAACGCAGAGGUCGCGGGUUCGAAUAACCCUUUAGGCCA